ACACUCAGCACGUGAAAUUGAUCUCGGGAUCGUCUGAACGAAAGUGCGAGCCUACAACGUGCAAAGCACGAGGUGAAGCGUGAACAUUCUCUAAUAAUCCGCACGAUAGUGAAUUGAUUAAAUAACAAUUGGAAAGGGAGUUUGGCGUCAAGAGUUGUGGGCCAGAAAGAAAGCUGUUAAAAGUUGACGCAAACCACGCUCUUUUGUCCUACAAUCCUUGUGCCGGUGGACGUUCGGUCUAUCAACCAAAGUGCUUCCGAGAUACGUUUUAGGCAGAACACUAGCGUCACGCAACGAAGUACACGAGUUCAAUUGGGAGAAGCGAAAGCCCCGCGAUAGGGGCUUUUUUCUUUUGACUCGUUCUCUCGAUCAAGGGCACGUGAAGGCACUCGUAGGUUCGUCGUUCUCGAGGGGCAAGAACAUCGCAGCAUCGGCCAACGGUCCUGGCGGCGCGACAAGUGGCCGUGUGAAUAACGCUGGAACAACAACGAGCCGGAGCUGACGAGCUUUGACCCGCUGAUGACAUUCGCGUCGAGCAUGCGGCGCGCGGAAGUAAACAUGCGGUGCAGUUGCACCAACGCGCACACUGUUCGCGUCGACUAGGGGACGACGGCGCCGAGGCAAACGGGGUUCGUGGUUCAACGUGAGUAGUAUUACGCUAGAUGUAAGACAAAGAUGAAAAGAAAGUAGGAGUCAGGAAAGUAGAGUGCAGGAAGAGAAGGAAGGAAGUAUGGGGAAGUAAAGUAUCAAUAAAUAAUGUAAAAUUUCAAACAACA